rnacentral:rRNA from 1 species
GACAGAGGGUGCAAACGUUGUUCGGAUUUACUGGGCGUAAAGCGCGUGUAGGCGGCUUUGCAAGUCGGAUGUGAAAGCCCACGGCUCAACCGUGGAAGUGCAUCCGAAACUGCAUGGCUUGAGUCUCGGAGAGGAAGGUGGAAUGCUUGGUGUAGAGGUGAAAUUCGUAGAUAUCAAGCAGAACACCUGCGGCGAAGGCGGCCUUCUGGACGAUGACUGACGCUGAGACGCGAAAGCGUGGGGAGCAAACGGG